rnacentral:rRNA from 1 species
UUCGAAAGGGGUGCUAAUACCGAAUGAAUGUAAGAGUAUCGCAUGAGACACUUACUAAAGGAGGCCUCUGAAAAUGCUUCCGCUUGAAGAUGAGCUUGCGUCUGAUUAGCUAGUUGGUGAGGGUAAAGGCCCACCAAGGCGACGAUCAGUAGCCGGUCUGAGAGGAUGAACGGCCACAUUGGGACUGAGACACGGCCCAGACUCCUACGGGAGGCAGCAGUGGGGAAUCUUCCGCAAUGGGCGAAAGCCUGACGGAGCAACGCCGCGUGAACGAUGAAGGUCUUAGGAUCGUAAAGUUCUGUUGUUAGGGACGAAGGGUAAGGAUCAUAAUAAGGUUUUUAUUUGACGGUACCUAACGAGGAAGCCACGGCUAACUACGUGCCAGCAGCCGCGGUAAUACGUAGGCGGCAAGCGUUGUCCGGAAUUAUUGGGCGUAAAGGGAGCGCAGGCGGGAAACUAAGCGGAUCUUAAAAGUGCGGGGCUCAACCCCGUGAUGGGGUCCGAACUGGUUUUCUUGAGUGCAGGAGAGGAAAGCGGAAUUCCCAGUGUAGCGGUGAAAUGCGUAGAUAUUGGGAAGAACACCAGUGGCGAAGGCGGCUUUCUGGACUGUAACUGACGCUGAGGCUCGAAAGCUAGGGUAGCGAACGGGAUUAGAUACCCCGGUAGUCCUAGCCGUAAACGAUGGAUACUAGGUGUGGGAGGUAUCGACUCCUUCCGUGCCGGAGUUAACGCAAUAAGUAUCCCGCCUGGGGAGUACGGCCGCAAGGUUGCAACUCAAAGGAAUUGACGG